rnacentral:rRNA from 1 species
GACGAACGCUGGCGGCGUGCUUAACACAUGCAAGUCGAACGAUGAAGCCGGAGCUUGCUCUGGUGAAUUAGUGGCGAACGGGUGAGUAACACGUGAGUAACCUGCCCUUGACUCUGGAAUAACUGCGGGAAACUGUAGCUAAUACCGGAUACGACCCUCGGAGGCAUCUCCUGGGGGUGGAAAGAAUUUCGGUCAAGGAUGGACUCGCGGCCUAUCAGCUAGUUGGUGAGGUAAAGGCUCACCAAGGCGACGACGGGUAGCCGGCCUGAGAGGGUGACCGGCCACACUGGGACUGAGACACGGCCCAGACUCCUACGGGAGGCAGCAGUGGGGAAUAUUGCACAAUGGGCGCAAGCCUGAUGCAGCAACGCCGCGUGAGGGAUGACGGCCUUCGGGUUGUAAACCUCUUUUAGCAGGGAAGAAGCGAAAGUGACGGUACCUGCAGAAAAAGCACCGGCUAACUACGUGCCAGCAGCCGCGGUAA